rnacentral:misc_RNA from 1 species
GAAAUGCGAUAAGUAAUGUGAAUUGCAGAAUUCAGUGAAUCAUCGAAUCUUUGAACGCACAUUGCGCCCGCCAGUAUUCUGGCGGGCAUGCCUGUUCGAGCGUCAUUUCAACCAUCAAGCCCCCGGGCUUGUGUUGGGGACCUGCGGCCGCCGCCGGCCCCGAAAAGCAGGGGCGGGCUCGCUGUCGCACCGAGCGUAGUAGCAAUCAACUCGCUCAGGGCGUGCCGUGGGCGCCGGCCGUUAAACGACCAACCUAUACAUCCGCAGGUUGACCUCGGAUCAGGUAGGAAUACCCGCUGAACUUAA